rnacentral:rRNA from 1 species
UACGGAGGAUGCGAGCGUUAUCCGGAUUUAUUGGGUUUAAAGGGUGCGUAGGCGGACUGUCAAGUCAGCGGUAAAAUCGAGAGGCUCAACCUCUUCCCGCCGUUGGAACUGGUGGUCUUGAGUGGAUGAGAAGUACGCGGAAUGCGUGGUGUAGCGGUGAAAUGCAUAGAUAUCACGCAGAACUCCGAUUGCGAAGGCAGCGUACCGGCAUCCAACUGACGCUGAGGCACGAAAGCGUGGGGAUCAAACAGG